GAUGAAGAACGCAGCGAAAUGCGAAAAGUAAUGUGAAUUGCAGAAUUCAGUGAAUCAUCGAAUCUUUGAACGCACAUUGCGCCCGCCAGUAUUCUGGCGGGCAUGCCUGUCUGAGCGUCAUUUCAACCCUCACGCCCCUAGGGCGUGGUGUUGGGGAUCGGCCAGCGCCCGCGAGGGGAAGGCCGUCCCCCAAAUCUAGUGGCGGACCCGUCGUGGCCUCCCCUGCGAAGUAGUGAUAUUCCGCAUAGGAGAGCGACGAGCCCCUGCCGUUAAACCCCCAACUUUCUCAGGUUGACCUCAGAUCAGGUAGGAAUACCCGCUGAACUUAAGCAUAUCAAUAAGCGGAGGA
rnacentral:misc_RNA from 1 species